rnacentral:rRNA from 1 species
GAUGAACGCUGGCGGCGUGCCUAAUACAUGCAAGUCGAGCGAAUGGAUUGAGAGCUUGCUCUUAUGAAGUUAGCGGCGGACGAGUGAGUAACACGUGGGUAACCUGCCCAUAAGACUGGGAUAACUCCGGGAAACCGGGGCUAAUACCGGAUAACAUUUUGAACCGCAUGGUUCGAAAUUGAAAGGCGGCCUCGGCCGUCACUUAUCGAUGGACCCGCGUCGCAUUAGCUAGUUGGUGAGGUAACGGCUCACCAAGGCAACGAUGCGUAGCCGACCUGAGAGGGUGAUCGGCCACACUGGGACUGAGACACGGUCCAGACUCCUACGGGAGGCAGCAGUAGGGAAUCUUCCGCAAUGGACGAAAGUCUGACGGAGCAACGCCGCGUGAGUGAUGAAGGCUUUCGGGUCGUAAAACUCUGUUGUUAGGGGAGAACAAGUGCUAGUUGAAUAAGCUGGCACCUUGACGGUACCUAACCAGAAAGCCACGGCUAACUACGUGCCAGCAGCCGCAGUAA